rnacentral:misc_RNA from 1 species
UCAAACUUGGUCAUUUAGAGGAAGUAAAAGUCGUAACAAGGUCUCCGUUGGUGAACCAGCGGAGGGAUCAUUAACGAGUUUUCAACUCCCAACCCUAUGUGAACAUACCAAUCGUUGCUUCGGCGGACACGCCCCGGCGUCCGGACGGCCCUGCGCCGCCCGCGACCCGGACCCAGGCGGCCGCCGAGGACCCCAAACUCUGUAUUCUUUAUGUCUUCUGAAUCCGCCGCAAGGCAAAACAAAUGAAUCAAAACUUUCAACAACGGAUCUCUUGGUUCUGGCAUCGAUGAAGAACGCAGC